AUGAACGCUAGCUACAGGCUUAACACAUGCAAGUCGAGGGGCAGCAUUUCAGUUUGCUUGCAAACUGGAGAUGGCGACCGGCGCACGGGUGAGUAACACGUAUCCAACCUGCCGAUAACUCGGGGAUAGCCUUUCGAAAGAAAGAUUAAUACCCGAUGGUAUAAUCAGACCGCAUGGUCUUGUUAUUAAAGAAUUUCGGUUAUCGAUGGGGAUGCGUUCCAUUAGGCAGUUGGUGAGGUAACGGCUCACCAAACCUUCGAUGGAUAGGGGUUCUGAGAGGAAGGUCCCCCACAUUGGAACUGAGACACGGUCCAAACUCCUACGGGAGGCAGCAGUGAGGAAUAUUGGUCAAUGGGCGCAGGCCUGAACCAGCCAAGUAGCGUGAAGGAUGACUGCCCUAUGGGUUGUAAACUUCUUUUAUAUGGGAAUAAAGUUUUCCACGUGUGGAAUUUUGUAUGUACCAUAUGAAUAAGGAUCGGCUAACUCCGUGCCAGCAGCCGCGGUAAUACGGAGGAUCCGAGCGUUAUCCGGAUUUAUUGGGUUUAAAGGGAGCGUAGGUGGACAGUUAAGUCAGUUGUGAAAGUUUGCGGCUCAACCGUAAAAUUGCAGUUGAUACUGGCUGUCUUGAGUACAGUAGAGGUGGGCGGAAUUCGUGGUGUAGCGGUGAAAUGCUUAGAUAUCACGAAGAACUCCGAUUGCGAAGGCAGCUCACUGGACUGCAACUGACACUGAUGCUCGAAAGUGUGGGUAUCAAACAGGAUUAGAUACCCUGGUAGUCCACACAGUAAACGAUGAAUACUCGCUGUUUGCGAUAUACAGUAAGCGGCCAAGCGAAAGCAUUAAGUAUUCCACCUGGGGAGUACGCCGGCAACGGUGAAACUCAAAGGAAUUGACGGGGGCCCGCACAAGCGGAGGAACAUGUGGUUUAAUUCGAUGAUACGCGAGGAACCUUACCCGGGCUUAAAUUGCAGAUGAAUUACGGUGAAAGCCGUAAGCCGCAAGGCAUCUGUGAAGGUGCUGCAUGGUUGUCGUCAGCUCGUGCCGUGAGGUGUCGGCUUAAGUGCCAUAACGAGCGCAACCCUUAUCUUUAGUUACUAACAGGUCAUGCUGAGGACUCUAGAGAGACUGCCGUCGUAAGAUGUGAGGAAGGUGGGGAUGACGUCAAAUCAGCACGGCCCUUACGUCCGGGGCUACACACGUGUUACAAUGGGGGGUACAGAAGGCAGCUACCUGGUGACAGGAUGCUAAUCCCAAAAGCCUCUCUCAGUUCGGAUCGAAGUCUGCAACCCGACUUCGUGAAGCUGGAUUCGCUAGUAAUCGCGCAUCAGCCAUGGCGCGGUGAAUACGUUCCCGGGCCUUGUACACACCGCCCGUCAAGCCAUGAAAGCCGGGGGUACCUGAAGUACGUAACCGCAAGGAGCGUCCUAGGGUAAAACUGGUAAUUGGGGCU
rnacentral:rRNA from 1 species